rnacentral:rRNA from 1 species
GGGGGGGGGGGGGGGGGGGGGGGGGGGGGGGGGGGGGGAGGGGGGGGGGGGGCUUUGGGGGGGGGCUCGAGUGGGGGACGGGUGAGUGACACGUGGGUGAGCUGCCCUUGACUUUGGGCUAACUUCAGGAAACUGGGUGGCAUACACGCUAUGAGCGCGUGCUGUCUGGGCGGGCUUGUAAAUUUGCGGCGGUUGGGGGGGGGCUCGCGGUGUAUCAUCUUUGUGGUGGGGUAGUGGCUUACCAAGGCUGUGACGGGUCGCCGGCCUGAGAGGGUGACCGGCCACAUUGGGACUGAGAUACGGCCCAGACUCCUACGGGAGGCAGCAGUGGGGAAUAUUGCACAAUGGGCGGAAGCCUGAUGCAGCAACGCCGCGUGCGGGAUGACGGCCUUCGGGCUGUAAACCGCUUUCGCCUGUGACGAAGCGUGAGUGACGGUAAUGGGUAAAGAAGCACCGGCUAACUACGUG